rnacentral:lncRNA from 1 species
ACUUGUCUCAGCUCAUAGGGCCUUCAGGAUCAUGGCCUAUAAAAUGCUUCAAGCAGCCCUGUGUUCAACAUUGCUUAUAGGUAAGAAUCUAUUUCCUUUUUUUUUAUCAUGUCUUUUGCAAUUGUUAAGUUGAUAGAUAACCCCUUCUGACUUUUUAAAUAAAUGAACAAACAUGUUUUAUUCAUAGACCAAUUCUAAAGUGUUAGGGAAACAAUACUAUUGUGUCAUGCUGUGGUUUUGAACAUGUUUGUGUUAAUCGUAUGUGUGAUAAUUUUAUUCCUAAUUAUGUAUUAACAUAUUAACAUGUUACAGUUGCUAAGAAGUCUCUUUAACUUGUGCCUCCAAAGAUGUGCUCCAGUGUCCUUGAACAAAGACAAUUUUUAAGUGCCUUUUAGAAAUUGUAAUACUUACAUGAUACAGUUGUGUGGAAACCUCAAGGUACUUUGAGAGUGUGAAUUCAUUAACCUUUUAGGCUAUAGCUCAAAGAAGUGCUGAAGGCACCAAAGGCCAGAUGAUUUGCUGCCAAAUUGACCCAGAAACUCAGAGGUUUAUAUCUGAAUUGAACUGAGAGGUCAUUUGUUUUUCUUGUAACCAAAACUGAAAAUACAUACAACAGUGUAAAUUAUCUUCAUAGUUAAGUCUCUAAAAUGUACAAAUACUUCUGAUGAAGACGCUUAAAUCUGAAUAAAUUUCUACUUUUAUAAGUUUGAGACCCAAACUGAUGUGUGUGUGUGUGUGUGUAUAUAUAUAUAUAUAUAUUUCACUUGAGACGCAAUCACAGGUAAAUACAUUGGUAUAGAUAUAUAUCUAGAGUAUGAAUCUAGAUAUGUGUAUUCAUACCCUUUUAUUCCUAAGCAUAUGAAUAAUUUUAACAAAGAGUGUUAAUCUUCUGUAUUGUACUUUGCAUUUAGGACAUGUUUAAACAAAUGAUUUAGCAAAUUUUAGCUGAGUUAUUUAUUAUUAAGCAAUUAUCAUCAAGUCAUACCAGGUUAUAGCCCACAUCUCCGAUUGAAGAAAGUGAGGCUGACUCAGUUUAAAAGAGCAUAUGAGAAGCAACUGUAAUUGAAGUCAUGGGCUGGUUAUAAUCCACCAGUAUCAUGCUUUGCCUUAACUGCUGAACCAUGCAGUUGACUUCAGAGUGGGCAAUGAUGGAUGACUGCAAGGCCAAAGGCACUACAGUUAGUCCAGAUUCACCUGUGAACAAACCAAGUCAGAAAUACCAGCCAAAGGGAAAAUGGUUCUAUAAACUGCCUUUUACAGACUUUCUUUAAAAACAAAUUGGAAUUAACUUUAACUUCAACUGAGAUAAAAAUAUGUCUACCUAUAAAGAAAACUGGUUUGACAAACUUCCCUUGAAAAACAAGCAACCAAACAAAUAAAUAAAAUUUUUAGUAGAAGUUCAUGAUAUAACAUGUUGAGGGUGAGAAUCCAGGACAGAGUAAUGUGGACACUGCUGGAUUAACCCUUCAGUUAUCAGGAAAGACUUUACUGUUUGCAGGCUGAGGAGACUGUGGUCCUUAGAACCAGAUUCAUUUAUUACACUAAAAACUCAUUUAACUGAUAUUUUCUAAAUCACAUACUUCUAAAGUAGGAAAUAAUAAUUUGAAUCAAAUUUGUUUCUUCCUCAUCCCUCCCCCCUUUUUCAUUUAAAAAUGUAGCCUAUUCAUCUGAACUUCCCUGGAGCCCUUCUGCUUGCCUUAAGAAAGCAACACUUUUUAAAAGUUUAUUUUUAUUAUUAAAAAAGUUUUCUCUGUUACAGAUUAGUUGUCUAAUAAAUUACUUUUGUCCAGAACUUAAUUUGAAGUAAGUAGGGAAAAGAUCUCAUUAUCUAUUUCCCUAGUGGGAAUGCUCAAGCCAAAAAUGAUGAAGAGCCUACUCAAGUAAUUACAUUUAUAAGCAGAGUCCCCAAAUUAUUUUAUUGAUUUUCUCAAAAUAGUAAUUUAUACACACUGGGGCUGAUUCCUUGGUCAGAGAAUUAGAGGUCCAAGUGUCAUGAUUUGAUUAAAAAACAAAACAAAAUGAAACAAAAAAAUACUCUCUUUAGCAUUUAAGUCAAGAAUUGCCUUUUCCUAUAAUAAGACAGUAAAUUGAAUACUACUAUUUCAAGCCUUUAUUAUGUGUCAGGGGUUUUCCAUAUGUUACCUUGGUUCAGCUCUGAUAAUCACGCUAAAAACAGGAUUAUGAGACUCAUUGUACAAAGAGGAAACUGAGGCUGAGAGAAGUUAAAUGACCAAGCUACAGGGUCAGUCAAUGGUGAAUGACCCAUUCAUAGACAAAUUCUACCUCCAGUUCUUCGAAGAACAAAACUCUUCUUCCUGCUACACAAACUGUUUCCUCUGUCACCUCUGCAAUACCAGGUGUGAAAUAUGCAGACAUGAAAUAGGCAGCAGAGCAUGCAAGAUCUCCUACUAAAGACGUAAUGGAGCCAAUACUGUAGCUAUUGGUUUCACAAGAAAAGGUAGGGAGUUAGAGAGCUGGGUGGGUUUAUCCAAGAAAAUAGGGCCAAACCAGGACAUAACUAAGGACAGUUCCUAGUUGUAUUGAUUUAAAGAAAAGUCCUAAACCCAACAUGUUCCACUUCAACAGGGCACUUUUUAAAUUUUAUUUAUUUAUUUACUUACUUAUUUAGUCUUUUUAGGGCCACACUUUUUAGGGCCACACUCAAGGCAUAUCGAAGUUUCCAGGCUAGGGGUCAAAUGGGAGCUACCAUUGCCAGCCUAUGCCACAGCCACAUAAACAUCUGAUCUGAGCCACAUCUGUGACCUACACCACAGGUCACAGCAACGCCAGAUCCUUAACCCACUGAGGAUCAGGCCAGGGAUCGAACCAAAACCUCAUGGUUCCUAGUCGGAUGCGUUAACCACUGAGCCACGACGGGAACUCAGGUUGGUUUUUUUGAUACUGAGUCGUAUGAGCUGUUUGUAUAUUUUAGAAAUUAAGCCCUUGUUGGUUGCAUCAUUUACAAAUAUUUCCUCCUAAUCCAUAGAUUGUCUUUUCAUUUUGUUUAAAAGCUUUUGCUGUAAAAGCUUACACAUUGAUUGAUUUGGUCCCAUCUGUUUUUGCUUUUUUUUUUUUUUUCCUUUUGCCUCAGGAGACUAACCUAAGAAAACACUGCUGUGAUUUAUAUCAGAGAAUGUUUUACCCAUGUUCUCUUCGAGGAGUUUUAUAGUUUUCUGUCUUAUAUUUAAGUCUUUAUGCCAUUUUGAGUUUAUUUCUGUAUAUGGUAUGAGGGAGUGUUCUAACUUCAUUGAUUUACAUGCUGCUAUCCAGCUUUCCCAACACCACUUGCUGAAGAGAUUUUCUUUUUUUCCAUUGUAUAUUCUUGCUUCUUUUGUUGAAAAUUAAUUGACUAUUGGUAUUUCUGGGCUCUCUAUUCUGUUCAAUUGAUCCAUAUGUCUAUUUUUGUGCCAAUAUCGUGCUGUUUUGAUUACUGUAGCUCUGUAGUAUUGUAAUAGGGCUCUUUAAAAAAUGAAACAGCCCCAUUUCAUAUAAAGAGGAAAUAUGGAAAAUUCCCAUAUAUAGAAAGUGCUUCACUGAGCAGGUAAACCAGUCCUUGGGGAUGACCCAUCCAUGAAACAAUUUAGGGGUUCACACCCAUAUUAUUGAUAUGUGGUCAAAUCUAUCCAUAAAGUACAAGUAUGUUUCCUGGUUUUAGAGAGAGGAAAAAAUAAACUGCCUUUGGCCUGUUUCUCUAACAUAGGUCCAGCUUUUGUUUUUCAACCCAGAGUUAUUAACCAAGGCCUAUUUUGUCUUGAGGUGUUUUUGUUUGUUUUUGACAAGAGCUUUUAAGCUUACGUUUUUUCCCCACAACCUUAAUCAUAUCUCCACUCCUUCCGUUUGCCUUCUUCUCUGUUACAAUAGAAGAAAUGGAUCUUCUCAGCCAUCACUUCAGCCUUGUACUUCUUUAGAGUCUGUAUUUCCUGAUACAGUUUUAGUUUAUUAUACAGGAUUUUGUUCUUAACUUUACCUACUCACUUUGGCUUAAGAUUGAUUGAUGCUGUCAAGAAAGUGGGUAAUGAGGAUAAACUGGGAAAUAACUUG